CUUAGCUGAUUUUAUUUAAAUAAAUUUUUAUUACCGAAAGUAUUUGAUUUUAUUAUUAGUUGGGUUACACAGCCCUGUUUCUUCCCAGGUAGGGGGUGGUUAAAUUGUUUUUACGUUGUGAUAAAUUAUUCGGUAGUACUUAUAUCUGUUUAUUGGUCUCUUUUUUGCGUUACCUCUGGGGCUAUGAGGUCCACGAGGGAUAAAUAUCAUAAUUUUGUUGAUAACUAGAAAGGGUUAAAGCUACCCGGUCUUAAUUAAUUGUGUUACAACUUUUAUUACUCAGUUCAGUUGAUUUUUUUAUAGCAGCCAAUUAUUCUUUAAUUUUUAGUAGUCUCUUAUGGUUAAACAAGUAAUACCAACGUUAGUGUUGUUUCUCAAAAGUUGCCUGUCUGUUUAUUAAAAACAUUUCCACUCAAAAUUGUGUGUGGUAGUACCUGCUCUAUGCUUAUUGUAAAUGGCCGCAGUAUCUUGACUGUGCUAAGGUAGCAUAAUUAAUUGCCUUAUAAUUGAAGGCUUGUUUGAAUGGUUUGACAAGGUAAUAUUAAACAUUACUCUUAUUUAUGAAAUUAAUUGUGGGGGCACAGAAUCCCCUUAAUUUAAUUAGACGGAAAGACCCCGGGAUCUUUUGUUUUUGUCUGGGGCAGAUUAUGGUUAUUUACAUAUAAAUAUGACCCUAAUGGUGCAUUGGUGCAAGUUACCCCGGGGAUAACAGUGUAAUAGUUUAUUAGAGAUCAUAUCGAAUAUACUGUUUGCCACCUCGAUGUUGACUUAGGUUUAUGCUUGGGCGCAGUAGUUCAAGUUUAUGGUCUGUUCGACCACUUAGU
rnacentral:rRNA from 1 species